rnacentral:rRNA from 1 species
GAGUUUGAUCAUGGCUCAGACGAACGCUGGCGGCAUGCCUAACACAUGCAAGUCGAACGAGACCUUCGGGUCUAGUGGCGCACGGGUGCGUAACGCGUGGGAACCUGCCUUAGGUUCGGAAUAACUCAGAGAAAUUCGAGCUAAUACCGGAUAAUGUCUUCGGACCAAAGAUUUAUCGCCUUUAGAUGGGCCCGCGUAAGAUUAGCUAGUUGGUGGGGUAAAGGCCUACCAAGGCGACAAUCUUUAGCUGGUCUGAGAGGAUGAUCAGCCACACUGGGACUGAGACACGGCCCAGACUCCUACGGGAGGCAGCAGUGGGGAAUAUUGGACAAUGGGCGAAAGCCUGAUCCAGCAAUGCCGCGUGAGUGAUGAAGGCCUUAGGGUUGUAAAGCUCUUUUACCCGAGAUGAUAAUGACAGUAUCGGGAGAAUAAGCUCCGGCUAACUCCGUG